GGAGAAGCCGGCUGACUUCUCCAGAGACACCCCCAUCCCCACCCACGCACAGGCUCCUGGGGACACAGGGACAUGGAGACCAGGCCAGAACAGGCAGAGCUUCUCCAUCUGUAACUCAAGUGGGGCUGGAUUAAGUGAUCCUCAAGGUCACCAAGAUUCCAUGAUAGCACCUCUGAAGAAGGGGUCCCGUGGCCAUCUUCUCCCAAAGGAGUCAGCGUGGGGCCAGCGGGAGGGCCAGUUCCCCAAACACUACGGGAAAGACAGAAGCACCCAGGCAGGCCUCUCUGGCCGAGGCACUGCGUGAGCACCUUACCCUGGAAGCAGAAACAGGCUCAAGGCAGUGACCAAGUUCCCAUGCUACAUAAUUCCUGGUGUUAGACCUGAACCCAGGACUUCCGUACCAACAUUCUUUUCAUUACACCAAUGGUUUGCAAACUUUCAAACUAAAAUUGUACAUAAAGUGCAGAAUACAGA